CAAAAAUCUAUAAAAUUGGUCCAGUACUGAGCAAGAACGCUGUAACCAGCAGCUGUGAACCGGGCUGCAAUAAUCCUAUAGGGCAAAUGCACAAUGUCACAUUUCUGUCC